rnacentral:rRNA from 1 species
UACGUAGGGUGCGAGCGUUAAUCGGAAUUACUGGGCGUAAAGCGUGCGCAGGCGGCGCCGCAAGUCGAGUGUGAAAUCCCCGAGCUUAACUUGGGAAUUGCGCUCGAAACUACGGUGCUGGAGUGUGGCAGAGGGAGGUGGAAUUCCACGUGUAGCGGUGAAAUGCGUAGAUAUUGUGAGGAACACUAGUGGCGAAGGCGAGACUCUGGACAGUUCCUGACGCUGAGGCACGAAGGCCAGGGGAGCAAACGGG